AUUGAACGCUGGCGGCAGGCCUAACACAUGCAAGUCGAGCGGAUGAGUGGAGCUUGCUCCAUGAUUCAGCGGCGGACGGGUGAGUAAUGCCUAGGAAUCUGCCUGGUAGUGGGGGACAACGUUUCGAAAGGAACGCUAAUACCGCAUACGUCCUACGGGAGAAAGUGGGGGAUCUUCGGACCUCACGCUAUCAGAUGAGCCUAGGUCGGAUUAGCUAGUUGGUGAGGUAAAGGCUCACCAAGGCGACGAUCCGUAACUGGUCUGAGAGGAUGAUCAGUCACACUGGAACUGAGACACGGUCCAGACUCCUACGGGAGGCAGCGGUGGGGAAUAUUGGACAAUGGGCGAAAGCCUGAUCCAGCCAUGCCGCGUGUGUGAAGAAGGUCUUCGGAUUGUAAAGCACUUUAAGUUGGGAGGAAGGGCAGUAAGUUAAUACCUUGCUGUUUUGACGUUACCAACAGAAUAAGCACCGGCUAACUUCGUGCCAGCCGCCGCGGUAAGAC
rnacentral:rRNA from 1 species